rnacentral:rRNA from 1 species
CUGGCCAGGACGAACGCUGGCGGCGUGCCUAAUACAUGCAAGUCGAACGGUCUUUUCUAUGGAAGCUUGCUUCCACUGAGAAGAUAGUGGCGAACGGGUGAGUAACACGUGGGUAACCUGCCCAUAAGAGGGGGAUAACAUCCGGAAACGGGUGCUAAUACCGCAUAGUUUUCUUGAUUGCAUGAUUGAGAAAGGAAAGACGGCCUUUGUGCUGUCGCUUAUGGAUGGACCCGCGGCGUAUUAGUUAGUUGGUGAGGUAACGGCUCACCAAGACGAUGAUACGUAGCCGACCUGAGAGGGUGAUCGGCCACAUUGGGACUGAGACACGGCCCAAACUCCUACGGGAGGCAGCAGUAGGGAAUCUUCCGCAAUGGACGAAAGUCUGACGGAGCAACGCCGCGUGAGUGAAAGAAGGUUUUCGGAUCGUAAAACUCUGUUGUCAGAGAAGAACAAGUUGGAGAGUAACUGCUCCAGCCUUGACGGUAUCUGACCAGAAAGCCACGGCUAACUACGUGCCAGCCGCCGC